rnacentral:rRNA from 1 species
CCCUUAGAUGUCCGGGGCUGCACGCGCGCUACACUGAAGGAAUCAGCGUGCUAAAACCAUUGUCGAAAGGCAUUGGUAAACCCAUUAAAAUCCUACGUGAUUGGGAUCGGGAAUUGCAAUUAUUUCCCUUGAACGAGGCAUUCCCAGUAAGUGUGGGUCAUAAGCUCGCGUUGAUUACGUCCCUGCCCUUUGUACACACCGCCCGUCGCUGCCCGGGACUGAGCCGUUUCGAGAAAAGCGGGGACUGCUGCUGUCGGGGCUUUCGGGCCUUGGCUUCGGUGGAAACCGCUUUAAUCGCAGUGGCUUGAACCGGGCAAAAGUCGUAACA